GAUGAACGCUGGCGGCGUGCCUAAUACAUGCAAGUCGAGCGAACGGACGAGAAGCUUGCUUCUCUGAUGUUAGCGGCGGACGGGUGAGUAACACGUGGAUAACCUACCUAUAAGACUGGGAUAACUUCGGGAAACCGGAGCUAAUACCGGAUAAUAUUUUGAACCGCAUGGUUCAAAAGUGAAAGACGGUCUUGCUGUCACUUAUGGAUGGAUCCGCGCUGCAUUAGCUAGUUGGUAAGGUAACGGCUUACCAAGGCAACGAUGCAUAGCCGACCUGAGAGGGUGAUCGGCCACACUGGAACUGAGACACGGUCCAGACUCCUACGGGAGGCAGCAGUAGGGAAUCUUCCGCAAAGGGCGAAAGCCUGACGGAGCAACGCCGCGUGAGUGAUGAAGGUCUUCGGAUCGUAAAACUCUGUUAUUAGGGAAGAACAUAUGUGUAAGUAACUGUGCACAUCUUGACGGUACCUAAUCAGAAAGCCACGGCUAACUACGUG
rnacentral:rRNA from 1 species